rnacentral:lncRNA from 1 species
AGCCACUGAGCCACUACCACCUUGUGCCAAAUACUAUCUGUGCCCUGCCUGCCAACCAGGAUGACAACCCUUCACCUGCCAGGUAUUUGAGUUGUCUCCAGUUUGGUGCUCUUCUGAAUAAAGCUAUGAUGACCAUUAAAGUACAGAUCUUUGUAUGAACAUAUUUUUUCUUUUCUCUUGAAUAGAUACCUAGAGUAAGAUUGCUGGCUUAAACAGUAGGAGAGAGACAGCAGCAGGCUAACUAGUUGUCUGUUAAGAACAUCCAGAGCAGGACCAGAAUCUGGGCCAGGAACUGAGAGACAGAUUGGGACAACGGAACAAAUCUACCAGAGUAAUGUUCUCCCAUCUUUCCAAGUAUUCAAGCAGAGAAUAGUCAAUAAUACAACUAACGACUGGAAGGGUUUCUUUUAUUCUAAGGUACUAUCAGAUGGAGGAACAUGUAGUUUGUGGUCAGUGACCUCAGGUUCUCACAUUCACGGUGCUGCAUCCUGGUUUUCAUUUGGGGACUGUUUUCUGGCACUCCCGCCUGUCUGGAGGAGCUCUGGAGGGAAGCAUUAGAUAUGGCUCUUAACCUCAGGGGGCUUACAGUCCAAUCAGGAGACCCAAUGCAAAUGGAACAAUGAAUCAAGAUACUAUCUAACAGGACUAGACCAUGCCGCCCAGUCAUUGGAACUUGGAUGUAAGUGGCUUCUACAACCAAGUGAGGCAGAGAAAUGGGCAGCAGUGAUGACUCUAUAAAGACUUUUGUGUUGAUUUGAAAACCAGUCAUCAGUUGAUACACUAGCUACAGGUACAAAUAUCUGGAUCGUCUGUGAGAGAAAGAACUGAAAAUGCACAGCUUCCAUCGGGAUGCUCAAUAAAGGAAUGUAGAAGAAUGUUGGGAGAGAAGCAUUCUCACCUAUUUCUGAUCUUAACAGUAACCAUCAACACAGAA